rnacentral:tRNA from 1 species
GGCGGCAUAACUCAGUUGGUAGAGUACCCGGCUCAUAUCCGGUAUGUCGUAGGUUCGAGCCCCACUGCCGCUA